GAGCAUAUAGCUCAAGUUGGUAUAGCGCAUGCCUAGCGUGCAUGGGGUCCUGGGUUCAAUCCCCAGUACCUCCU
rnacentral:tRNA from 1 species